rnacentral:misc_RNA from 1 species
AACUUUCGACAACGGAUCACUUGGCUUUCGCAUCGAUGAAGAACGCAGCGAAAUGCGAUAAGUAAUGUGAAUUGCAGAUUUUCAGUGAAUCAUCGAAUCUUUGAACGCACCUUGCGCUCCUUGGUAUUCCGAGGAGCAUGCCUGUUUGAGUGUCAUUAAAUCCUCAACCCCGAUCGAUUUGUUUCGACCUCGGGGCUUGGACUUGGAGCGUGCUGGCGUGAGUCGGCUCCUCUCAAAUGGAUCGGCGGAAUUCAAUCCUUGGCUUGCGGACGUCAGUGUGAUAAUCACGUUGCGCUGUCGUUUGAGCCGUAAGGGUCCGCUUACAAUGGUCUUCGGACAACUUCAUUUAAAUUUGACCUCAAAUCAGGUAGGACUACCCGCUGAACUUAAGCAUAUCAAUAAGCGGAGGCU